rnacentral:rRNA from 1 species
GACGAACCGUCCUAACGUUGUUCGGAAUCACUGGGCGUAAAGCGCACGUAGGCGGAUUGUUAAGUCAGGGGUGAAAUCCUGGAGCUCAACUCCAGAACUGCCUUUGAUACUGGCGAUCUCGAGUCCGGGAGAGGUGAGUGGAACUGCGAGUGUAGAGGUGAAAUUCGUAGAUAUUCGCAAGAACACCAGUGGCGAAGGCGGCUCACUGGCCCGGUACUGACGCUGAGGUGCGAAAGCGUGGGGAGCAAACAGG